CCUACGGGAGGCAGCAGUGAGGAAUAUUGGUCAAUGGACGAGAGUCUGAACCAGCCAAGUAGCGUGAAGGAUGACUGCCCUAUGGGUUGUAAACUUCUUUUAUAUGGGAAUAAAAUGUUCCACGUGUGGGAUUUUGUAUGUACCAUAUGAAUAAGGAUCGGCUAACUCCGUGCCAGCAGCCGCGGUAAUAAGGAGGAUCCGAGCGUUAUCCGGAUUUAUUGGGUUUAAAGGGAGCGUAGGUGGAUUGUUAAGGCAGUUGUGAAAGUUUGCGGCUCAACCGUAAAAUUGCAGUUGAAACUGGCAGUCUUGAGUACAGUAGAGGUGGGCGGAAUUCGUGGUGUAGCGGUGAAAUGCUUAGAUAUCACGAAGAACUCCGAUUGCGAAGGCAGUUCACUGGACUGCAACUGACACUGAGGCUCGAAAGUGUGGGUAUCAAACAGGAUUAGAUACCCCAGUAGUC
rnacentral:rRNA from 1 species